CUCACUCAAACCUCAAACGCACCACACCUUUCGAACUUGUGUGAUAGUGAUAAAUGGAUAUUAUAUUAUAUAAUUAUUAUAUUCUAAGUUUUUGGAACUAAGUAAUUUCUGUCCCCCCUCCUUUUAGGAAGAUUUGAUCCUAAUCCACACCGUCGCCGAUGAUUAAAACCACGUGAGAAUAAACCAACAACAGCAGCUGUCUUCAAGAACACAACAUGGUUGAAGACAUGGUCAACAUCUAAGACCUACCCACCUCAUCUGGAGCCAACAGCAUCCAUCUGCAUCCUCUACAGAAGCAAGCAUUCCAUCGAUGUCAUAAGUAUCGUUCUAUCUUUUGUAAAACUAUACACAGAGUUAGCCUUGCGUAUAUUAAAUAUCAUUACAUUACUUUGUUUUCGUUAUUCAUAUUUUCGAUUAACGGAAGACGAACUUACACUUGACAGAAUGAGCUAAACCGUAGUCUCCCAUAAUAGUUGGAUCAACUACAUCAACUCUUAACUCCCCAACUAUCUGCGGUAGUUCUAACGUUACACAUUGGCGCCCAAACGUUAUUACAUGUUGUAAGACGCCUAACGUUAUGAUAUAAAAUGCUGCUUAUUAUAGGAUUAGGAGCAUUGUUCCUCUAAUAAAUAAAAAAAAAA
rnacentral:lncRNA from 1 species